UGGGGAAUAUUGGACAAUGGGCGCAAGCCUGAUCCAGCAAUACCGCGUGUGUGAAGAAGGCCUGAGGGUUGUAAAGCACUUUCAAUGGGGAGGAAAAAUGCAGUCUUAAUACGGCUGCCCUUGACAUUACCCAUACAAGAAGCACCGGCUAACUCCGUGCCAGCAGCCGCGGUAAUACGGAGGGUGCGAGCGUUAAUCGGAAUUACUGGGCGUAAAGCGUGCGUAGGCGGCCUGUUAAGUCAGAUGUGAAAGCCCUGGGCUCAACCUGGGAACGGCAUUUGAAACUGGCAGGCUAGAGUUAGGUAGAGGGGAGUGGAAUUUCAGGUGUAGCGGUGAAAUGCGUAGAUAUCUGAAGGAACACCAGUGGCGAAGGCGGCUCCCUGGACCCAAACUGACGCUGAGGUACGAAAGCGUGGGUAGCAAACAGGAUUAGAUACCCCUGUAGUCCCUGAGCGGGCUGGCAAGGCGCAU
rnacentral:rRNA from 1 species